AAGGGCUUAGUUUAAUUAAAAUUACUGAUUUGCGUUCAGUUGAUGUGAGAUGAAGUCUUGCAGUCCUUA
rnacentral:tRNA from 1 species